GGCUUAACACAUGCAAGUCGAGCGGAAACGAUGAUAGCUUGCUAUCAGGCGUCGAGCGGCGGACGGGUGAGUAAUACUUAGGAAUCUACCUAGUAGUGGGGGAUAGCUCGGGGAAACUCGAAUUAAUACCGCAUACGUCCUACGGGAGAAAGCAGGGGAUCUUUGGACCUUGCGCUAUUAGAUGAGCCUAAGUCGGAUUAGCUAGAUGGUGGGGUAAAGGCCUACCAUGGCGACGAUCUGUAGCUGGUCUGAGAGGAUGAUCAGCCACACCGGGACUGAGACACGGCCCGGACUCCUACGGGAGGCAGCAGUGGGGAAUAUUGGACAAUGGGGGGAACCCUGAUCCAGCCAUGCCGCGUGUGUGAAGAAGGCCUUUUGGUUGUAAAGCACUUUAAGCAGUGAAGAAGACUCUUCGGUUAAUACCCGGGGACGAUGACAUUAGCUGCAGAAUAAGCACCGGCUAACUCUGUGCCAGCAGCCGCGGUAAUACAGAGGGUGCAAGCGUUAAUCGGAAUUACUGGGCGUAAAGCGAGCGUAGGUGGCUUGAUAAGUCAGAUGUGAAAUCCCCGGGCUUAACCUGGGAACUGCAUCUGAAACUGUUAGGCUAGAGUAGGUGAGAGGGAAGUAGAAUUUCAGGUGUAGCGGUGAAAUGCGUAGAGAUCUGAAGGAAUACCGAUGGCGAAGGCAGCUUCCUGGCAUCAUACUGACACUGAGGCUCGAAAGCGUGGGUAGCAAACAGGAUUAGAUACCCUGGUAGUCCACGCCGUAAACGAUGUCUACUAGUCGUUGGGUCCCUUGAGGACUUAGUGACGCAGCUAACGCAAUAAGUAGACCGCCUGGGGAGUACGGCCGCAAGGUUAAAACUCAAAUGAAUUGACGGGGGC
rnacentral:rRNA from 1 species